rnacentral:rRNA from 1 species
GUAGUCUGCAACCCGGCUACAUGAAGCUGGAAUCGCUAGUAAUCGCAGAUCAGAAUGCUGCGGUGAAUACGUUCCCGGGUCUUGUACACACCGCCCGUCACACCAUGGGAGUCGGAAAUGCCCGAAGUCGGUGACCCAACCGUUUACGGAGGGAGCUGCCGAAGGCAGGUCUGGUGACUGGGGUGAAGUCGUAACAAGGUAAC